GCUGGUAACAGUCGGGGGCAUGGUAAACCCCGUUCGCAGCAAGGCCAAAUAGGGAAGCGCCAAGCGUGGCUCGCGUUUGCUUUCGGGUAGGCUGCUUGAGCCUGUCAGCAAUGGCAGGCCUAGAUGAAUGAUCAUCGCCGCCCUUUCGCAAGAGAUGGGCGGAGACAAAACCCGGCUUAUAGAGCCACUCCGUAU
rnacentral:RNase_P_RNA from 1 species